rnacentral:autocatalytically_spliced_intron from 1 species
GAUGAUAUAGUCCGUACUAUAAGUAAUUAUG